GCCACUUAGGUCCUGCAAGUUCUUUUUUCCCCGAGUGUUAAAGAAGCAUAUAGAAACUUCAUCAUAAGACCUAUUAAUAAUCUGAGUUCUGAGAGACUGUGCAAUUGAGCUGACGGCAACUUGAAAAUGAGUUGCAAUCUUUUCAUCAUCCGUUGGGCAAGUAGAGGAAAACAUUUUAGGUGAAGCAUCCACAAGAUAUACCAAGAACUCCUUAGUAUUAUCUCUUUCCUUGAAGAAUUCAUUUUCAGGGUCAUCUUCAUCAUCACGGAAGACUUCAUCUGGG
rnacentral:misc_RNA from 1 species